CAGGUCACCACGUUGCAGCAGCAGAUACAGGACUGGGAGAAGAAGCACUUGUCAGUGGUGUCUGUCUAUCGCUCUCACCUGCUCUGCGCUGUCCAGGGGCGCAUGGAUGAGGAGGUGCAGGGGCUCCUGCUGCAAAUACUGAGGAUGCACCAGCAGAGCAGCACCUGAGAAAGAGAGGGCUCCCCGACACUGCACGCGAAGCCAGGGCGCCCCGACACUGCACACCGGAC